rnacentral:rRNA from 1 species
AUUGAACGCUGGCGGCAUGCCUAACGUAUGCAAGUCGCACGCGAAAGGGGGCAACCCUGAGUAGAGUGGCGGACGGGAGAGUAACGCGUAGGAAUCUACCUGGUAGUGGGGGACAACCCGGUGAAAACCGGGCUAAUACCGCAUACGAUCCACGGAUGAAAGCAGGGGACCGCAAGGCCUUGCGCCAUCAGAUGAGCCUGCGUCGGAUUAGCUAGUUGGUGGGGUAAAGGCCCACCAAGGCGACGAGCCGUAGCUGGUUUGAGAGAACGACCAGCCACACUGGGACUGAGAUACGGCCCAGACGCCUACGGGAGGAAGCAGUGGGGAAUAUUGGACAAUGGGGGCAACCCUGAUCCAGCAAUGCCGCGUGUGUGAAGAAGGCCUUCGGGUUGUAAAGCACUUUCGGUGGGGACAAACAAGGUGGAGCUAACAUCUCCGCCUCUGAUGGUACCCAAAGAAGAAGCACCGGCUAACUCUGUGCCAGCCGCCGCCGUAA